rnacentral:misc_RNA from 1 species
UUUUUUUUUUUUUUUUUUUGAAGUACAUGUUCAUUGCCUAUAUAUAUAAGAUCAUUUAAUUGCAGAAGAACAGACUACUUUCAGAACAUUUAAAACACACUGAGCAGAUACAUAAACAAUUUCAUCAUGUCUCCACCUUAAUGCCUUCAGAUGUUAACAUCGCAACUUAGCUACAUUUCAUACAGUAAAUAUAUUUGCUGUGUCUCUGGGGAGCACAAGCACAUGGUGAAUUACAUUACAUCUAAAAGGUUCACAAAGGUGGUUUUUAGAAGCAAACUUGACAGGAACAAAGAAUUUUAUAAACAAGUUCUCAAAACUUUGGUAAAAGUUUAUAGAAGCUAUGAGAUUUUAAACUUUAGUCAUGUAUUUUUCACUGGAGAUAAAGACAACGGUGCUCAAUUCAAUAAUCAUUUGCAAGUUUUUCUUACCAAAAAGUUGUAAUAAUUAUAAGCACAAGCUUUGUUAAAAUUGGAACAAUAAGAAUUGAGCACAAACUUUGUUAAAAAUAUAUAUACGACGCACGUAGACAAUCUAAGGGAAACUAAAUACCAUGCAUCAGGUGCCUGGUAGUG